rnacentral:lncRNA from 1 species
UUUUUUUUUUUUUUGGCUUUUUUUUUUUUUUUUUUUUGGCUUUUUGGCUUUUUGCCAUUUCUUGGGCCGUUCCUGGGGCAUACAGAGGUUCCCAGGCUAGGGGUCUAAUCAGAGCUGUAGCCACCGGCCUACACCACAGCCACAGCAACACAGGAUCCGAGCUGCGUCUACAACCUACACCACAGCUCACAGCAACGCCGGAUCCUUAACCCACUGAGCAAGGCCAGGGGUCAAACCCGCAACCUCAUGGUUCCUGGUCGGAUUCGUUAACCACUGAGCCACAACAGGAACUCCAGGUUACCCUCUUAACUUAAGGGCAUGCUUCUCUGGGGAGGUGGGGAUGAAAAUGGGCAUGGCAUUUUAGGUGCUCAACAUCAUUUACUGUUUAUAAAGUCAGGUAAAUUAUAUAUAAGUAGACCCCAAACAGUCUACUAACACCACAAUUAAGCAGCAGAGUAUCAAAAUGAUUAAACUUUAGGCAAAUAUUAAUAAGAGUCAAAAAAAAUCUAAAGGCAAGAUUCAAAAAAGCUAUAAAGUCGAGGGGCAAUAAACUUCAGAUGUAAAGUUACCUACACCGCUUGCUUGGCCUCCCUCAUGUCAUUCCAGGAAGUGGGCUUUAUAAAUGUGUUCCAACUUCUCUCCGUAGUAUGAUACAGUCAGAGGCUUUGCCUGAUUCGUAACAUUGCAUUUAACAGAUGUAUCAUUUUGAUAGAUUGGGCUUUUUAAUUUUUUCAUUUUUCGCUUUUUUAGGGCCGCACCUAUGGCGUAAGGAGUUCCCAGGCUGGGGUAGAAUCGGAGCUCAGCCUACACCACAGCCACAGCAACACAGGAUCCAAACUACAUCUUCGACCUACACCAUAAUUCACAGCACUGCUGGAUCCUUAACCCCCUGAGCGAGGCCAGGGAUUGAACCUGUAUCCUCAUGGAUCCUGGUCGGGUUCGGUACUGCUGAGCCACGAUGGGAACUCUGGACUUUUUAAAUAGUAUACUCCAUGUUAGAAGCCCUCACUGGUUUAUUCUUUUCCAAUUAUUGCUUGAGAUUACACUAUGAUUUGUGUUAUAAAAACACUAAACACUAGAUUUAUAUGUAUAUUCAGUUGCUAUGUGCUUUUUUGAAGCGCAUUCAUCAAAAUCACAUACACCCUGGCUAUUUUCCUCACUGAAAAUGGCUACUUUGGUUUAUAUCAAUGAUGUCUCUGGAGAUUUUAAAUCUAAGUAGAGAUUUAAUUUUUCAUUCAAAAAUCACUUUUUUGCCAACCCUUUCCUGACACCUCCCAAAUCUAGGAAAUGUGCCAAGGUUUUCAGAAAAUAUAUUUACUUAUUCUUCAAAUGUACUUGGAAGGAGAUUAAAGCAUAGAUAAAUAAAAGCAGAUGAAUAGGACUUGUGGGCUAAAAGAGAUAUAUUUGAUUCAUUUUGCUGUCAGUUCCAAGAAAGGGAGAGAGAAAAAGAAAGAAGGAAAGAAGACAGGCUCAAAAAUUUUAGGCAACAGUUUUAAUGUUUCUUAAACUAUGUCUUAAUCGAUAACAUCUAUCAAAUGUUUGAAUGAGCUUGUCUUUUUUUAAAUUAGAAAUCACCCUAAUUCUAUUUUAUUUUAUUUUGGCUGGGCCUGCAGCAUACGAAAGUUCUCAGGCCAGGGAUCGAACCCUCACCACAGCAAUGACAAUGUCAAAUCCUUAACCGCUGGGCCACCAGGGAACUCCACUUCUUUGUCUUAACAUGUAUAGAAAUACUGUUCUGUUUUGUAUUUGGUGGGGGCAAGGAAGUAAUUUUUUAAAGGGAAUAUUUCUAACGCUAAGACCGGGAUUUUAUCAAGAUGAGAGCCAUUGGAAGUUAUAGCUUAUCGUGUAUCUAUUGGUUCAUUCAAAGUACAGAAGGUACUAGGUUUUCCCAACCAAAGGUCCACUAAAAAAUAUUUGAUCACUAAAUACUUCAGUUUAGACAUCAUGGAGAAUAUUCACAAACAUUUGGAAAUGUUUGGACCUGGGUAUGAAACUGCUUACUGGCUUUUCUAAGUUAAAAAUAAGUUAAAGAUUAUCGAUGACUUAAAACAAAAAGAAUCAAUUUGCAUAAUAGAAAAUGACAGGGGGUGGGGGGCUUCAAUAAUUCCAAAGUGUUUACUCUCCGCUCAGAAUGUAUAAGGAGAUUCAAAUGGCAAAUUAUUACGCCUUAGCACAUGCAUGGAGGAGGAGAAAGGCAAUUAAAAGCCAGCGUAAUAAAACUGGUCUUCGUUUCGAGGUACCUGAUAUAUGCAGUGUAUUCUCGGGGUACAGCUAAGGAUCACAAGCAUAUCUUUAAUAAAUCUAAAGACAUGUAGGAUAAAAGACGUGCAAUGAAGGUCCUAAGGAACUUAACUCUCUGAGUCUUAGUUUCCCCACCUGUAAAAUGGAGCAGUAAUAGCAAUUACUUUAUUGGGUUAUUAUAAGGAUUAAAUGCAAUUUGUAUUCAGCUUUUGCUCUGACUGGUGAAAAUACUUGGUAUUUUUUUUUCACCAAGGCCAUUCAUUAGGGAGUUCCAUGUUCCUCUCUCCCUGGUCCCAAGGCUCCACCCUCUUCCCACCUGACCAUGUAUACGCUGAGCACAAGGAAUGGGAGCCCGGUAGCUCCUGAAGAUAUUUGGAAACGUCAAGUAUUUUCACAGGGUUCUAAUAUUUAGGGAUCAAAUAGUAAUCAGGAGCUGCCACUCAGAAUUCUAAUUACAAGAUAGAGGAUUUCUUACUCUGAAGCAUUAAUGAGAACAAACUCCUGCUUCAAAUAGGGGGCAGGUGCAUUGGUGUUAUGAUGGUGGACUCUGUAAUGGGCAUCGUUAUUAAAGUACUCAAAAUAAAAAUAAAAAGUUAUUAUUAUUCCAUGGGGGAAGGUGCUAAAUUCUAUAAAAUAAUAUUUAAAGCACUGUUUAAAGGCUCUCCCUGAGCCAGAGAUCCCCAUGAAAUACAUAGUAAGCCAAAUGUGCCAAUAUGUAUUAUGUGACUAUAGGUUAAAGCAGGUCAAGGAGCCACUGGACAAUAAUAUUAGCGUAGACUCAACUACUAAAAAAUCCAAAAGAAUUUCUUAUUGAGUCUAAAGUUGUUACAGGCAAAACUACUAAUACCUAACUAUCAACAAAGUAGAGGGUCAGAAAGUAAAGUGAGUUGGGAGGUUAUAUUGUCCUUGUGACUUGACAUACAAGAAUACUUCAUGGGUUUGAAUGUGCACAUGUCGCAUUUCAACAUGAUGACACUGGGGUGGAGAACAACAGGGGAGGAGGGAGCCAGAGUUGAUUCUGAUGGUGCCUAGCAAUACAGCCGCCACCAGAUACACAUGUGCAAAUGCAGAUACCAUUGCUGGUGGCACAGCUGCAGAGCCGCAAGCCCACAUUUCCGCUGAGAAACCAUUUAGUGACCAUUUGAAGAAAGAAUGAGACGCUGUCGGGAAAUCUGCAGACACCUGCAGGUAAGAUCAAGAUAGCACCAGCAUCUAAACUGACAGGAGGGAUGGAGGAAAUCCAGAGAUGACAGAGGCGGCGCCUUCAGACAGGUGCAUUAGCCACCUCCUGGCCACAGGAUGACACUGUGAGGACAGACCUGAGUCCAAAAGUGACUCAGAAGAAUCUACCUAGAAAAACGCUGAAGGCUUGCCUCAUGCUUACUUAGCUUAACUUUUAGAGUUAUGCACAUCUGAAUGAUAAACCAUCAACAUCAUGUAUAAGGAAGUCUAAGACGGCGCUGUCAAUAAGUUGAAAAGAAAAGUCUUAAACGAAAAGCAGUAUCAGGUACUAGUUGAACAUUUCUUCUUUCUUGGAUGCUCACUAGUGGUCUUACCUCUAUGGCACCUUAGACUUGCAGGUGUAUUUCGCACCUUCUUCACCCUGUCUCCUGACCCUUCAAGCACUCCUUCUUUUAUGAUAAACCCUACUCUCCUCCGUCUGUCUGCCCUCCUACUUUUUAAUUUAUGGCUCUUAUAUUCGGUCUCACAAUAAUUUCGCCCCAUAAACCAAACAUCAAGGCUAAAAGGACAGGCUUCUGCGGAGAUUCAAAUUCCAGCUCUCCUGGUUACUUGCUGCAUGGUCUUAGGUAAAUUUCCAAAAACCCAGCUCUCUCUCUCUUUAUUUUGUCUUUUUUUUUUUUUUUUUUUUUAGGGCCACAUCCAUGGCAUGUGGAAGUUCCCAGACUAGGAGUUGAAUCAGAGCUACAGAUGCCGGACUAUGCCACCGCCACAACAAAGCCACAUCUGAACUGUGUCUACAACCUAUACUGCAGCUCACGGCAACACCAGAUCCUUAACACACUGAGUGAGGCCAGAGAUUGAACCCGAGUCCUCAUGGAUACUAGUUGGGUUUGUUACCACUGAGACAUAAUGGGAACUCCGGC